rnacentral:rRNA from 1 species
GAUCCUGGCUCAGGAUGAACGCUGGCGGCAUGCCUAAGACAUGCAAGUCGAACGAGGUGGCCCAAAGAAGAUUGAGUGCUUGCACAAGAUUGGAAUUGGAUUACCACCUAGUGGCGGACGGGUGAGUAACACGUAGGUGACCUGCCUUUGAGUUUGGGAUAACUAUUAGAAAUGAUAGCUAAUACCGGAUUAAAUAUAGAUUCGAUUCUAUAUUAAAAGGAGCCUUUAAAGCUUCGCUUAAAGAUGGG